GGGAGGGGCAGGGCAGUGGUUUAAAAUAAAGCCAUGCACACCUCCUUCCCCAGAGCAUCCAGUGCCUUGCUGAUGGAAAAGCCACCGCUGCUGAGAAAGGCAGCUGUGCCUGGGCCCCGCAGGUCACACUGGAGUCCUCACCUCCAUCUCUGCAUUCUGGUGCAUUUGGAAGAGGAUUUCUAGAGGUGGGAGAGGAGAUGUAACUUCCCCCACCUCCUUCGCAUCUUCUAACAGUUGCAGCCUCCUCUGCUUUGCGCAUUCACAGGGAGGAGCAUGGGCAGCACCUGCAUGGGUGGCAGGAGAAUGGCUGGAACCUGGGAGGUGGAGGUUACAGUGAGCCGAGAUCAUGCUACUGAACUCUAGCCCCUGGGUGACAGAGCGGGACUCUGUCUCAAACAAACAAACAAAAAACAAACUCCAAAACCAAAAAACAAACAAAAAACCCAAAACAAAAAACAAACCGAAAUGCAAAUACUAGGAUGUUUAUGUAUCUUAACAUGUUAAAUUUAGUAUAAGAAAUAAUUGUAAAUCAUAAUUUGUGCUGGCAUAUAGCCCUCUUGUUUGAUAUGAGUGAAACUAAUCAUUGAAUAAUUAAUUUGAAAAAUUAAAGUGGGAAAUUACUAGAAUGAUGCUUCUAUACUCUAUUUAUUCACCAAUCAUCAGAUUCUUUCUUCGUACUUAGGUUUGCUGAGAAUUCAGCAUGGUCUUUCUUACAUAAACCACACUCAAAGUACAUCAUUUACAAAUUCCAGUUUCAGAGUCUUUAACAUAGAAUUUGUUAGAAAUCUUAGAGAUCUUAGAGACACUUAAGAAGAACAAUGAAUGCAGAUUCCUUCUAGGUUUCCUGACCCUUCCCCAAGCCCAAUUCUUUCAUAAUUGCAUUGCCCCACCUAAUUCCAUAUCUAUAUCAAAUCUAUAUCUAUAUCACUAUCAGUUUAUAUAAGAGUUUAAACAACUAAGCUUUAUAAAGUUUUCCCAAAGCAUUCAAGUUAUUAUGGAAAUGACAAUAACAUUCACCACCCACUUCAAUGGGCUUGUGGACAAACACAGUUCUCAGUUUGUAAGCACAGAACUCAAUUAGAGGAACAGAUGUGUACAGCACACUGUAAAAUGGGUGAAAAGACAAGCAUCAGGUGGGCGAAGACAGUUGCAACACGUAUACUGACAAAUGACUAGGAUUUCAAAUAUACAGAAAGAACUUAACCAGAUUAAUAUGGAAAAGAAAUAACCCAAUAAGAAAAGGGGCUUAUUAGACAGGCACAAAACCAAAGAGGAAAUUCAGAUGGUCAACAAACAUGAAAAAGUGGCUCAAAUUUAUUAGUCAUCAGGAAAAUGCAAACUAAAACUACAAUGAGAUAGCCUUACACAGGAGACAGGAAAGAACUAAAAAUUCUGAAAAUACUAAUCGUCAGCAAGGGUUUAGAGCCACAGCAACUCUAGCGAAAGUUCUAUGAACUUAGAACUUAGAAUUCAUAGAGUCUAGUGAAACUCUAUGAAUGCCAUUUUGGAAAGCAGUUGCCCUGUCUAUGAGAUUGAAUAUCCACAUGCUCAGAGAUGGAUAAAUUCCUGGAAAGAUACAACCCUCCUAGCUAAAAUCAGAAAGAAUUAGAUACCCCGAACAGACCAAUAACAAGCAACGAGGUUGAAAUGGUAAUUAAAAAUGUACCAACAACAGGCUGGGCAUGGUGGCUCACAACUGAAAUCCCAGCACUUUGGGAGGCCGAGGCCGGUGGAUCAUGAGGUCAGGAGAUCAAGACCAUCUUAGCUAACACGGUGAAACCCCAUCUCUACUAAAAAUACAAAAAAUUAGCCAGGCGCGGUGGCGGGCGACUGUGGUCCCAGCUACUCGGGAGGCUGAGGGAGGAGGAUGGUGUGAACCUGGGAGGCAGAGCUUGCAGUGAGCUGAGAUUUCACUACUGCACUCCAGCCUGGGCGACAGAGCGAGACUCCAUCUCAAAAAAAAAAAAAAAAAAAUGUACCAACAACAAAGAAGUCCAGGACCAGACAGAUUCACAGCAGAAUAAGUCCAGGACCAGAUAAUUCACAGCAAAAAUCUUAUCAGACAUUCAAAGAAGAAUUGGUACCAAUCCUACUGAUGCUAUUUCACAAAAUAGAGAAAGAGGGAACCCUCCCUAAAUCAUUUUAUGAAGCUAAUAUCACCCAAAUACCAAAACCAGGAAAGAACAUAACCAAAAAAGAAAACUACAGACCAAUAUCCCUAUAUGCAAAAAAAU
rnacentral:lncRNA from 10 species